UACGUAGGUGGCAAGCGUUGUCCGGAUUUACUGGGUGUAAAGGGCGUGCAGCCGGGCUGACAAGUCAAAUGUGAAAUCCCGCGGCUCAACCGCGGAACUGCAUUUGAAACUGUCAGUCUUGAGUACCGGAGAGGUCAUCGGAAUUCCUUGUGUAGCGGUGAAAUGCGUAGAUAUAAGGAAGAACACCAGUGGCGAAGGCGGAUGACUGGACGGCAACUGACGGUGAGGCGCGAAAGCGUGGGGAGCAAACAGG
rnacentral:rRNA from 1 species